ensembl:snRNA U6 U6 spliceosomal RNA
GUGCUUGCUUCAGUAUCAUAUAUACUAAAAUUGGAACAAUACAGAGAAGAUUAGCAUGGAUCCUGCAAAAAAGUGACACAAAUUUUCAUGGAGAGUUUCAUGUAUUU